AUGGUAAGCAGUGUUGUUGUUGAACAACGCAUGGAGGAUGUUCCCGGGAAGCCACAGCCCGCAGUGGUCAUCCACCGUCUUGAUGGUCGCAAAAGAGAAAAAGAAUAUGGAUGUUCGUGGUGUCAUACCAGAGAGGAGGAAGGAGAGAGCACCGCCAAUAGUGUCCAGAAUAAGGCCCUCAAGAGGGUGGUUGUAAAGAGCCCCAAAGGAAUAAGGGACUACAAGAGUGUGGUGCUUGGAAUGGAUGUGCUUAUACAGAAACUUGUUGAUGUGCAUGUAUCUGUGCAUGAAGUACUGCCAUGUGUCCAUGACAAACAUCGCGAUGAUAAAUUGCAGCGCUAUCACCACAGCAGAAGGCUGCUUCGGUGCAAUACCACUCUCAUCACCAAUAACCUGCAGUUCAAGAAAAUUUAA
rnacentral:rRNA from 1 species